ACGAUCAGUAGCCGACCUGAGAGGGUGAUCGGCCACAUUGGAACUGAGACACGGCCCAGACUCCUACGGGAGGCAGCAGUGGGGAAUAUUGCACAAUGGAGGAAACUCUGAUGCAGCGACGCCGCGUGAGCGAAGAAGUAUUUCGGUAUGUAAAGCUCUAUCAGCAGGGAAGAAACUGACGGUACCUGACUAAGAAGCACCGGCUAAAUAC
rnacentral:rRNA from 1 species